UACGAAGGGGACUAGCGUUGUUCGGAAUUACUGGGCGUAAAGCGCACGUAGGCGGAUUUGUAAGUCAGGGGUGAGAUCCCGGGGCUCAACCUCGGAACUGCCUUUGAUACUGCAAAUCUCGAGUCCGAUAGAGGUGGGUGGAAUUUCCGGUGUAGCGGUGAAAUGCGUAGAUAUCGGAAGGAACAUCAGUGGCGAAGGCGACUUCCUGGACCAAUACUGACGCUCAGGUGCGAAAGCGUGGGGAGCAAACAGG
rnacentral:rRNA from 1 species